CUGAUAAUAUACAUAAUGGUUUCUUUCAUAUACAUAACAUACAUACAGUUUGACUAGAAAUAAAAUAUAACACCAUUAACUAACACAACUGGUCUUUCUUUUUGAUGAGCUCAUUUCCAUUUCCUAUUACUAAUACAUAUAAUUAAGUAGCCUGAAGUUUAAUUAGUAGAAAAAUAUGCAAUAGCUAAGGUCAAUAAUUGACCUUGGAUAUUUUGCUAAAGCAAUUUUUGAAUAGGUUCAAACUCAGUAUCAAACAAAUGCUUGCACUAGUAUAGCACAAAGAUAAUUCUAAAAA
rnacentral:lncRNA from 1 species